rnacentral:sRNA from 1 species
GUCUCGCCAUGCUGCUCCUGGGCCUGCUGCUGCUGCUGCCCCUGCUGGCUGGCGCCCGCCUGCUGUGGAACUGGUGGAAGCUCCGGAGCCUCCACCUCCCGCCUCUUGCCCCGGGCUUCUUGCACCUGCUGCAGCCUGACCUCCCCAUCUAUCUGCUUGGCCUGACUCAGAAAUUCGGGCCCAUCUACAGGCUCCACCUUGGGCUGCAAGAUGUGGUGGUGCUGAACUCCAAGAGGACCAUUGAGGAAGCCAUGGUCAAAAAGUGGGCAGACUUUGCUGGCAGACCUGAGCCACUUACCUACAAGCUGGUGUCUAAGAACUACCCGGACCUGUCCUUGGGAGACUACUCCCUGCUCUGGAAAGCCCACAAGAAGCUCACCCGCUCAGCCCUGCUGCUGGGCAUCCGUGACUCCAUGGAGCCAGUGGUGGAGCAGCUGACCCAGGAGUUCUGCGAGCGCAUGAGAGCCCAGCCCGGCACCCCUGUGGCCAUUGAGGAGGAAUUCUCUCUCCUUACCUGCAGCAUCAUCUGUUACCUCACCUUCGGAGACAAGAUCAAGGUGCCUCACAGCCCCUCAGGCCCACCC